GCAGACACAUUCCAGCCAAUCAGCAGCAGACCCUCCCUCCCAGACCCUCCCACCUCCUGGACAGCAUCCAUUUUGUGAAGCUGCAUUCUUAGUGAGCUGUCCAGGAGGUGGGAGGGUCUGGGAGGGAGGGUCUGCUGCUGAUUGGCUGGAAUGUGUCUG